GUAACCUGCCAUAGAAAGGAGUUCAAGAAGGUCCAGCAAAGUUACGUACAAGCCCACCCAGGCGUCAGAAUUGCAUUACGGUCGCCCCGUGGCUAACAAAGAAGCUGAAAAUCACCCAGAGCUGUUCUCAAGAGCUGGUCUGCUAGGACUCCAGAGUGCAGGUGCAAUAUUCAAAGAACAUUCUCUAGAGAUCAAAGACAUGGACUACCUGCUCAUCGAGGCUGAUUUCACUGCUAGCACCACUGAUGUUGCUUCCUGUUCGUCUAAAGGAAUUACAGAAAGACACACCAUGAGAAAACUAGGAUGUUCCAGUUGAAAUAAUGUGCUAUCGGGGGAAAAAUAUGCACAGAGAACAGUGCUAUCAAACACCAAACAGAGUAUCUAGUUUGUCAGAGUUGGACAGCAAGUAUAACAAGGGCCAUCUAUGGAUCUAUCAAUCUUUAUUUAUUAAGUUAAAAGGCAAAAUAAAAUUACUGAAUGGUGCCCAUGGA